ACACCCACAGACACACAUGGACACACACGGACAGCCACGGAUGUCCUGUGUGUGCUGACGGACAGCCACAGACAGCCACGGACGUUCUGUGUGUGCUGGCGGACACCCAAGAACGUCCUGUGUGUACUGAACAGACAGCCCACGUGGGCCAAAAUCACCCAAACAGUCCACGGGAAGGGCCAGCGUGCUGAGUCCAAGGACCAACGUGCUUAUAUGUGUACUGAUGGACAACCACGGAUGUCCUAGUCUCAACCAUAAACGAUGCCGACCAGGGAUCAGCGGAUGUUUGUUUUAGGACUCGCUGGCACCUUAUGAGAAAUCAAAGUGUUUGGGUUCCGGGGGUAGUAUAGUCGCAAGGCUGAAACUUAAAGGAAUUGACGGAAGGGCACCACCAGGAGUGGAGCCUGCGGCUUAAUUUGACUCAACACGUGGAAACUUACCAGGUCCUGAGAGCUCUUUCUUGAUUCUAUGGGUGGUGGAGUGAUUUGUCUGGUUAAUUCCAUUAACGAACGAGACCUCAGCCUGCUAACUAGCUACGUGGAGGCAUCCCUUCAUGGCCGGCUUCUUAGAGGGACUAUGGCCGUUUCGGCCAAGGAAGUUUGAGGCAAUAACAGGUAUGUGAUACCCUUAGAUGUUAUGGGCCGCACGCGCGCAACACUGAUGUAUUGUAUUCAACGAGUUCACACCUUGGCCGACAGGCCCGGGUAUUCUUUUAAAUUUCAUCGUGAUGGGGAUAGAUCAUUGCAAUUGUUGGUCUUCAACGAGGAAUUCCUAGUAAGCGCGAGUCAUCAGCUCGCGUUGACUACGUCCCUGCCCUUUGUACACACCGCCCGUCGCUCCUACCGAUUGAAUGAUCCGGUGAAGUGUUCAGAUCGCGGUGACGUGGGUGUUUCACCGUCUGCGACGUCGCGAGAUGUCCACCAAACCUUAUCAUUUAGAGGAAGGAGAAGUCGUAACAAAGUUUCCGUAGGUGAACCUGCAGAAGGAUUAUUG
rnacentral:ncRNA from 1 species